GUGCACCAGGCGAGAAACCUUCGCAAUGCGCGAAAGCGCGACGAGGGGACUCCGAGUGCCUAUGCUCAGCAUAGGCUGUUCACCGGUGUAAAAAGCCGGUGGAGGAAGGGGUGGACAAGACUGGUGCCAGCCGCCGCGGUAAUACCAGCGCCCCAAGUGGUGAUCGAUAUUAUUGGGUCUAAAACGUCCGUAGCCGGCCCGGUAAAUCUCCGGGUAAAUCGUCCAGCUUAACUGGUCGAAUUCUGGGGAGACUGCCGGGGCUUGGGGACCGGGAGAGGUCGGAGGUACUCCAGGGGUAGGGGUGAAAUCCUGUAAUCCCUGGGGGACCACCGGUGGCGAAGGCGUCCGACUAGAACGGGUCCGACGGUAAGGGACGAAGGCUAGGGGAGCAAACGGGGAUUAGGAUACCCCGGUAGU
rnacentral:rRNA from 1 species